CCUGGAUUUAUUGGGUUUAAAGGGUGCGUAGGCGGCCUUGUAAGUCAGCGGUGAAAUUUUGCAGCUUAACUGUAAAAGUGCCGUUGAUACUGUGAGGCUAGGAUUUGGUUGCUGUGGGUGGAAUGUGUGGUGUAGCGGUGAAAUGCUUAGAGAUCACACAGAAUAUCGAUUGCGAAGGCAGCUCACAAAGCCAAGAUUGACGCUGAGGCACGAAAGUGUGGGGAUCAAACAGGAUUAGAUACCCUGGUAGUCCACACUGUAAACGAUGAUAACUCGCUGUCGGCGAUAUACAGUCGGUGGCCAAGCGAAAGCGAUAAGUUAUCCACCUGGGGAGUACGACCGCAAGGUUGAAACUCAAAGGAAUUGACGGGGGCCCGCACAAGCGGAGGAACAUGUGGUUUAAUUCGAUGAUACGCGAGGAACCUUACCCGGGCUCGAACGGUGCAGGAAUAUGGUAGAGAUAUCAUAGCUAGCAAUAGUCUGUAUCGAGGUGCUGCAUGGUUGUCGUCAGCUCGUGCCGUGAGGUGUCGGCUUAAUUGCCAUAACGAGCGCAACCCUUGUCAUUAGUUACCAUCAGGUCAAGCUGGGGACUCUAAUGAGACUGCCACCGUAAGGUGAGAGGAAGGGGGGGAUGACGUCAAAUCAGCACGGCCCUUAUGUCCGGGGCGACACACGUGUUACAAUGGGGGGUACAGAGGGCAGCCAUCCGGCGAGGAGCGCCAUCUCAAAAACCUUCUCAGUUCGGAUUGUAGUCUGCGACCCGCCUCUCUGAAGUUGUGAUUCGCUAGUAAUCGCGCACAU
rnacentral:rRNA from 1 species